rnacentral:rRNA from 1 species
AUUGAACGCUGGCGGCAGGCCUAACACAUGCAAGUCGAGCGGAGCGGCGGACGGGUGAGUAAUGCCUAGGAAUCUGCCUGGUAGUGGGGGAUAACGUCCGGAAACGGGCGCUAAUACCGCAUACUAUCAGAUGAGCCUAGGUCGGAUUAGCUAGUUGGUUAGGUAAAGGCUAACCAAGCCGACGAUCUCUAGCUGGUCUGAGAGGAUGACCAGCCAAACUGGGACUGCGACACGGCCCAGACUCCUACGGGAGGCAGCAGUGGGGAAUAUUGCGAAAUUGGGGUAACUCCGACGCAGCCAGGCCGCGUGAAUGAAGAAGGCCUUCGGGUUGUAAAGUUCUGUUAAUCGGGACGCGGUACCGGAAUAGAAAGCCACGGCUAACUACGUGCCAGCAGCCGCGGUAAUAC